AAAUUCUCAACGAUGGAUAUCUUGGUUCCCAUAACGAUGAAGAACGCAGCGAAGUGCGAUAAGCAAUGCGAAUUGCAGAACCGUGAGUCAUCAGAUUUUUGAACGCAACUGGCGCUGGCUGGGUCUCCAGCCAGCAUGCUUGUUCCAGUG
rnacentral:rRNA from 1 species